GACGAACGCUGGCGGCGUGGAUUAGGCAUGCAAGUCGAACGGUAUCAUCCUUUCGGGGGUGAGAGAGUGGCGAACUGGUGAGUAACACGUAGGUUAUCUACCCUCAAGACGGGGACAACCCAGGGAAACUUGGGCUAAUACCGGAUGUGAGCAACUUUUAGUUGUUUGAAAGGCGGCGUAAGCUGUCGCUUGGGGAUGAGCCUGCGUCCUAUUAGUUAGUUGGUGAGGUAACGGCUCACCUAGGCAAUGAUAGGUAGGCGGCCUUAACGGGUGGUCGCCCACACUGGGAUUGAGAUACGGCCCAGACUCCUACGGGAGGCAGCAGUCGAGAAUAGUCUACAAUGGUCGGAAGACUGAUAGUGCGACGCCGCGUGAACGAUGAAUCCCUUCGGGGUGUAAAGUUCUUUUAUAUGUGAGCAGUGCUUCUUAUAUUAACAGUAUGGGGAGAGAGAUAUUAGCAUAUGAAUAAGCAACGGCUAACUCCGUGCCAGCCAGCCGCGGUAAAACGU
rnacentral:rRNA from 1 species